rnacentral:tRNA from 1 species
AAUGAAGUGCCUGAAUAAAGGAUUAUUUUGAUAGAAUACUUAAUGUAUAUUUUAUACCUUCAUUA